rnacentral:hammerhead_ribozyme from 1 species
AUUAUUUGAUGAGUCCCAAAUAGGACGAAACGCGCGUUCUGGAU